CCUACGGGUGGCAGCAGUGAGGAAUAUUGGUCAAUGGGCUUACGCCUGAACCAGCCAAGUCGCGUGAGGGAAGACUGCCCUACGGGUUGUAAACCUCUUUUGUCAGGGAGCAAUUGGCGCUACGUGUACCGUUCUCGAGAGUACCUGAAGAAAAAGCAUCGGCUAACUCCGUGCCAGCAGCCGCGGUAAUACGGAGGAUGCGAGCGUUAUCCGGAUUUAUUGGGUUUAAAGGGUGCGUAGGCGGAAUGCCAAGUCAGCGGUCAAAUCGCGGGGCUCAACCUCGCUCCGCCGUUGAAACUGGCGGUGUUGAGUGGGCGAGAAGUAUGCGGAAUGCGUGGUGUAGCGGUGAAAUGCAUAGAUAUCACGCAGAACUCCGAUUGCGAAGGCAGCAUACCGGCGCCCAACUGACGCUGAGGCACGAAAGUGUGGGUAUCGAACAGGAUUAGAUACCCGUGUAGUC
rnacentral:rRNA from 1 species